GAUAAUUAUCCACAAAAAAAAACCAACAAAGACGUAAACGACCACAGGGCACCGCACCGUGGUCACAGAGAGUGAUACACCCUCAAAUACAUGCUGUAAACCUGAAUAAAGGAUAGAUUAAUAUCAUUGAUAAAUAUUUUUUUAUUUUCACCUUGCAAAUUUUUGUCAAAUCAUUCAAUACACUUGGACAUAAAUACCACAUGAGAUCAAUAGCCCA
rnacentral:lncRNA from 1 species